CCUCUACUUAGAACUCCGUUGUGAAAGCACACCAACCCAUGCAACUAAUAAUAGCAGCACUUGAUUUUUCAUGCAAGAAUAAGCUUCUUUAUGCACACCAACCCAUGCAACUCUUUAUCUUCUUCACAUCAAUUCAGACUUCUCCAUUGAUACGUAACCAUACUCUUAAUUACCAUAAUAUAUGCUCAUCUAUAUCUCUCCUGUCCAUUUAUUAUCACAAAAUUUAAUGUUCACUAUUCUUGGAAUUAUAACUUUUUUUGGUUAAUACUAACCAUCAGCUACUUAUUUUAAUUGAAUUAAUGGUACAAUAUAAUUUCAAUGUCAGGAACUAUUGUGAUAGUAAAUGGAUAGUUUUUAAGAUUCCAAUG
rnacentral:lncRNA from 1 species